rnacentral:tRNA from 2 species
GAUCGCGUGCCCGAGCGGUUUUAGGGGAUGGUCUGCAAAACCAUUUACGUGGGUUCGACUCCCACCGCGAUCU